rnacentral:rRNA from 1 species
CUCAAUAAUUAGGUCCUUUUCAGAAUCGCCUGUUUUUCAAAAACAUGUCUUCUUGAUAUAUAUUUUGAAGUCUGACCUGCUCACUGAUAAUUUUUAAAGAGCCGCGGUAAUUUAGACCGUGCAAAGGUAGCAUAAUCAUUAGUCUUUUAAUUGGAGGCUGGAAUGAAUGGUUUGACGAAAAAUCAACUGUCUCUUAUUAAUUUUUUGAAUUUAACUUUUGAGUUAAAAGGCUUAAAUUUACCUUUAGGACGAGAAGACCCUAUAGAGCUUAACAGAUUAAAAUAUUAUUUAUUUUAGUAUAUUUUUUAAAUGAUUUUUUAUUUUGUUUAGUUGGGGUGACGUGAAGAAUAAAUAAACUCUUCAUUAUUAAAUCAUUGAUUUAUGUUUAUAUGAUCCAUAAAUUAUGAUCAUAAGAUUAAGUUACCUUAGGGAUAACAGCGUAAUUGUUUUUAAGAGCUCUUAUCGACAAAACAGAUUGCGACCUCGAUGUUGGAUUAAGAUUAUUUUCGGGUGCAGUAGCUCAAUAAUUAGGUCUGUUCGACCUUUAAUUUCUUACAUGAUCUGAGUUCAACCGGGUUUUUUUUUUAAAAGGA